GCAGUGGUGGUUCACUGGUAGAAUUCUUGCCUUCUGUAUAGGGGACGUGGGUUCGAUUCCUGGCCAGUGCA
rnacentral:tRNA from 1 species